UCAUUAUUUUCUGUGAGAAGAAAACACAUUUCACAUCCACCACCUGUUAAAGUUAAAAAUGAUCAGGAAUACUAGAUCCAGGGAACUGCAGAUUUGUGAUCAACUGUAUUCUGCUUGGUCCAUUGGUGAGGCAAUGGAUCUGACGUCUUAGGUUCCAUUUCAUGACAUUCAUAAUUUCUUUCCCAGUUCCACUAGUGUCAUCUAGAAAACCCCAAUAGGCAUGUCUACACUUUAUUUCAUAGGUGGUGGGUUCAGUCAAAAUUCAGAAGUUUUUUAUAAUGUUGUUUUGUUUUUUCUAUUUUGUAUCUUUGUUUUCAGGUUUGGCAUUAUUAUUUUAUCAUUGUUCUGAAGAUUCUAUUUUCUAUUCUUUUUCUGAAGGUGUAACCCCAUUUUGCAUCCAUCUCUGCAUGAUCAGGGCCUUACUGUUAUCUACUGCUAUGCCUGUGACACAGUGGUCAAAUGGCAUUUUUCAGUUAAUACUCUUCACCUAUAAAAGAUGGCAGCAUGCUAAUCCUGAUUUCCAAGUUUCUGUAGUUAUAUCUAAAAACCUGUUAACUAGAUAAUCAAUGUAGGUAGGUUGACCUUUGAGUGUGUUUCUGGCUUUGACUUCUGGUACUUUUGAUGAAGCGUUUCUAUGAAUUUUGACCUUGCCUGCUUGUCCCUCAUUCCUUUUCACAUUAUUUAAUAAAUAAAGUAAACCAAAUCACUAAUGGUGCCACUGUGACCAGGGUUUUGUGUCAGUUUUCUCUCUCCACAAGUGGCUAUUUCACAGCAAUUCUGAAUUGUGUUAGUGACCAUCGCUUGCUUGACAACACUUUAGAAAAGAUCCUUAAAAGUUGUUUACAUUUCUGCCACACCUGCAAGACAAAAGCCGCAUCUUUAUAACACACUCACCAUCUUCAUGAGGAAAGUCUGGCAAAUCAACCAAACUGACAUGUCCAGAAAUCUUACAUUCACUAGACUUUGUUUUGCUUACUGUAAGUGAGUUACUCAGAUAUGGAAAAACUUUUUUGCUUGAAUAAAUCUGGAGAUGAAACACUGGCAAUUAAUACAUUUGGUUUUUGAUGUUUUCAUGUCCGCCGCUAAUUGUGUUUCGGUCUGUGAAGGUACAGCUUCACAGCUGGUGGGGUGAUGGGCUACGUCACGUUGAUUGUGGUUUUCUAUAUAAUUUAUGGAGUUUAACUGUUUAUAGCCAAGAAUAAUAUUAUAAAUAGUUAAAAGAGCACUUACCUUUCUAAACGGGUAUGGUGCAGGGACACACGUAUAGAGAAGGGGCUCGAGUUAAGUUUAAAGAGCCAGUAGGAAGUGGACGGAGAAGCCUUGGGCUCAUGUUGGUACACACACACGCAGAGAUA